rnacentral:rRNA from 1 species
GGCGGACGGGUGAGUAAUACUUGGGAAUCUGCCUAGUAGUGGGGGACAACGUUUCGAAAGGAACGCUAAUACCGCAUACGCCCUACGGGGGAAAGGGGGGGAUCUUCGGACCUCUCGCUAUUAGAUGAGCCCAAGUCGGAUUAGCUAGUUGGUGGGGUAAAGGCCUACCAAGGCGACGAUCCGUAACUGGUCUGAGAGGAUGAUCAGUCACACUGGAACUGAGACACGGUCCAGACUCCUACGGGAGGCAGCAGUGGGGAAUAUUGGACAAUGGGGGAAACCCUGAUCCAGCCAUGCCGCGUGUGUGAAGAAGGCCUUCGGGUUGUAAAGCACUUUAAGCGAGGAGGAAGGGUUCUUAAUUAAUACUUGAGAGCAUUGACGUUACUCGCAGAAUAAGCACCGGCUAACUCUGUGCCAGCAGCCGCGGUAAUACAGAGGGUGCAAGCGUUAAUCGGAAUUACUGGGCGUAAAGCGCGCGUAGGCGGUUGUAUAAGUUGGAUGUGAAAUCCCCGGGCUUAACCUGGGCACUGCAUUCAAAACUGUACGGCUAGAGUGUAGGAGAGGAUGGUAGAAUUCCAGGUGUAGCGGUGAAAUGCGUAGAGAUCUGGAGGAAUACCGAUGGCGAAGGCAGCCAUCUGGCCUAACACUGACGCUGAGGUGCGAAAGCAUGGGGAGCAAACAGGAUUAGAUACCCUGGUAGUCCAUGCCGUAAACGAUGUCUACUAGCCGUUGGGGGACUUGAUCCUUUAGUGGCGCAGCUAACGCAUUAAGUAGACCGCCUGGGGAGUACGGUCGCAAGACUAAAACUCAAAUGAAUUGACGGGGGCCCGCACAAG